AGUGAACGCUGGCGGUAGGCCUAACACAUGCAAGUCGAACGGCAGCACAGUAAGAGCUUGCUCUUACGGGUGGCGAGUGGCGGACGGGUGAGGAAUACAUCGGAAUCUACUUUUUCGUGGGGGAUAACGUAGGGAAACUUACGCUAAUACCGCAUACGACCUACGGGUGAAAGCAGGGGAUCUUCGGACCUUGCGCGAUUGAAUGAGCCGAUGUCGGAUUAGCUAGUUGGCGGGGUAAAGGCCCACCAAGGCGACGAUGCGUAGCUGGUCUGAGGGGAUGAUCAGCCACACUGGAACUAAGACACGGUCCAGACUCCUACGGGAGGCAGCAGUGGGGAAUAUUGGACAAUGGGCGCAAGCCUGAUCCAGCCAUACCGCGUGGGUGAAGAAGGCCUUCGGGUUGUAAAGCCCUUUUGUUGGGAAAGAAAAGCAGCAGGUUAAUACCCCGCUGUUCUGACGGUACCCAAAGAAUAAGCACCGGCUAACUUCGUG
rnacentral:rRNA from 1 species